GCGUGGAUGAUUGUGGUUUAAUUCGAUGCAACGCGAAAACCUUACCACCUUUGACAUGUACGGAAGUUGCCAGAGAUGGCUUCGUGCUCGAAAGAGAGCCGUAACACAGGUGCUGCAUGGCUGUCGUCAGCUCGUGUCGUGAGAUGUUGGGUUAAGUCCCGCAACGAGCGCAACCCUUGUCAUUAGUUGCUACGAAAGGGCACUCUAAUGAGACUGCCGGUGACAAACCGGAGGAAGGUGGGGAUGACGUCAAGUCCUCAUGGCCCUUAUAGGUGGGGCUACACACGUCAUACAAUGGCUGGUACAAAGGGUUGCCAACCCGCGAGGGGGAGCCAAUCCCAUAAAGCCAGUCGUAGUCCGGAUCGCAGUCUGCAACUCGACUGCGUGAAGUCGGAAUCGCUAGUAAUCGUGGAUCAGCAUGUCACGGUGAAUACGUUCCCGGGUCUU
rnacentral:rRNA from 1 species